UGGGGAAUAUUGGGCAAUGGGCGAAAGCCUGACCCAGCAACGCCGCGUGAUUGAAGAAGGUCUUCGGAUUGUAAAGAUCUGUCCUAUGGGAAGAAACAAAUGACGGUACCAUAGGAGGAAGCCCCGGCUAACUACGUGCCAGCAGCCGCGGUAAUACGGAGGGGGCAAGCGUUGGCCGGAAUUACGGGGCGUACAGGGUGCGUAGGCGGUGUUUUAAGUCAGUGGGGAAAUACCCGGGCUUAACCUGGGGGGUGCAUCUGAUACUGGGGAACUUGAGUGCAGGAGAGGUAAGUGGAAUUCCUAGUGUAGCGGUGAAAUGCGUAGAUAUUAGGAGGAACACCAGUGGCGAAGGCGACUUUCUGGACUGUAACUGACGCUCAGGCACGAAAGCGUGGGGAGCAAACA
rnacentral:rRNA from 1 species